CAGUGUGAGGACAGAAAUCUGUCUCGGCCAGUAUUGGUGACGUAUCCUGUGGGGUUUCUGGCUCCCCCUGCUGGUAAACUCACUGAGAUGUCGAGACAGACUCCCACACACAACGGUGCAGAGGAGGGUCCUGUGCUGGCUGUCGUGUUCGCAGCCUUUCUACUGGGUUUGUUCCUGAUGGGGGCGAUGUGGUGCAUCUACACUCAGACUGGGAGGCGUGAUUUGACCCAGAGAGACGGUAUUAUAGAGACAUCGGGACAGAACACGGCUUCAGAAACACGCCGAUACUGAUGGAGCAAACCAGCACUUUCCACCAGGCCAACUAAACCGUCAAUGUGAAAUAAAGCGCUAUCAUGUGAUUUCUGCUUUUGUUAACUUCUGAAUUUGUGUAUCAGCUUGUAGCCUUACGUUAGAAACUUGUUUCUGACAAGGAAUAAAACAAUAAAAAGGUGAUUGUUACUUUUUAUCUUACAGUUCUGGGAUUGUGAGGGAAACGUCAGAAUUGAGAGAUAUAAAAUCACAAUCACCUUAUUAUUUUGCGUCGGAAACAGGUUUCACGUAAGGCGUAAUGAUUUUACUUGCUGCUUUUUUUUGCUGCUAAAGUAACCCAUUUUGUGAAACGAUCUUGUGCACCUUAAAUGUACUUUAUUUAAUUUUCAGUCCUUUUAUUGUUUUCAUUGUAGUGUUUUGUAGCCCUUACAUAUGUUUUAAGUGUCAGUAUUAAAGAAAUAAACUCUGGACA